rnacentral:rRNA from 1 species
ACAGAGGUCCCAAGCGUUGUUCGGAUUCACUGGGCGUAAAGCGUGCGCAGGCGGUUUUGUAAGACAGGUGUGAAAUCCCCGGGCUUAACCUGGGAACUGCGCUUGUGACUGCAAGACUCGAGUACGGCAGAGGGGGGUGGAAUUCCACGUGUAGCAGUGAAAUGCGUAGAGAUGCGGAGGAACACCGAUGGCGAAGGCAGCCCCCUGGGAUAACACUGACGCUCAUGCACGAAAGCGUGGGGAGCAAACAGGA